UCCGUUGGUGAACCAGCGGAGGGAUCAUUACUGAGUUUACGCUCUAUAACCCUUUGUGAACAUACCUAUAACUGUUGCUUCGGCGGGUAGGGUCUCCGCGACCCUCCCGGCCUCCCGCCCCCGGGCGGGUCGGCGCCCGCCGGAGGAUAACCAAACUCUGAUUUAACGACGUUUCUUCUGAGUGGUACAAGCAAAUAAUCAAAACUUUUAACAACGGAUCUCUUGGUUCUGGCAUCGAUGAAGAACGCAGCGAAAUGCGAUAAGUAAUGUGAAUUGCAGAAUUCAGUGAAUCAUCGAAUCUUUGAACGCACAUUGCGCCCGCCAGCAUUCUGGCGGGCAUGCCUGUUCGAGCGUCAUUUCAACCCUCAAGCUCUGCUUGGUGUUGGGGCCCUACAGCUGAUGUAGGCCCUCAAAGGUAGUGGCGGACCCUCCCGGAGCCUCCUUUGCGUAGUAACUUUACGUCUCGCACUGGGAUCCGGAGGGACUCUUGCCGUAAAACCCCCCAAUUUUCCAAAGGUUGACCUCGGAUCAGGUAGGAAUACCCGCUGAACUUA
rnacentral:rRNA from 1 species